GUUUUCGGAUAACUGCGCAAUUUUGUCAUCCUCAGAAGUUGUUUUGAGGAUCCGAUGUUGUGAGGAAAGUCCAGGCUCGUGCGAUGCUGAGAUGCUCGCAGUGAUUGUGUCAGGCGAAUCAAUAAGCCUGAGUAGGAGCGUCACUCCUAACGGCGGAAAAGAGAGCUAAGGCUUGCUAUGCUCAAUUUUCUAUAAAGUGCCAAAGAGACGAUGUCGUAAGGAAACUUGCGAAGUGGAACGUGGUAAACCCCUCAAACGAGCAACCCAAACAUAUGGUAGGGGCAUUCUAGCAACCGAAUUGAAGGUGUGCUGGAGAUUGCAAAAGCAAUAGACAGAUGGUUAUCGAAGAUUAAUCUUACUUGAUUGGAUUGAUUGGAACAAAACUUGGCUUAUAGAA
rnacentral:RNase_P_RNA from 1 species